rnacentral:rRNA from 1 species
UACGUAGGUGGCAAGCGUUGUCCGGAUUUACUGGGCGUAAAGGAUGCGUAGGCGGACAUUUAAGUCAGAUGUGAAAUACCCGAGCUUAACUUGGGUGCUGCAUUUGAAACUGGGUGUCUAGAGUGCAGGAGAGGUAAGUGGAAUUCCUAGUGUAGGCGGUGAGAUGCGUAGAGAUUAGGAAGAACACCAGUGGCGAAGGCGACUUC